rnacentral:rRNA from 1 species
CAGUCGCCGCGGUAAUACGUAGGGUGCAAGCGUUAAUCGGAAUUACUGGGCGUAAAGCGCGCGUAGGCGGUUACUCAAGUCAGAGGUGAAAGCCCGGGGCUCAACCCCGGAACUGCCUUUGAAACUAGGUGACUAGAAUCUUGGAGAGGUCAGUGGAAUUCCGAGUGUAGAGGUGAAAUUCGUAGAUAUUCGGAAGAACACCAGUGGCGAAGGCGACUGACUGGACAAGUAUUGACGCUGAGGUGCGAAAGCGUGGGGAGCAAACAGGAUUAGAUACCCCUGUAGUCCCUGUCUCUUAUAC